AUUGAACGCUGGCGGCAGGCUUAACACAUGAAAGUCGAGCGAGCGGCGGACGGGUGAGUAAUGUCUGGGAAACUGCGUGAUGGAGGGGGAUAACUACUGGAAACGGUAGCUAAUACCGCAUAACAUCAGCAGUGCCCAGAUGGGAUUAGCUUGUAGGUGGGGUAAUGGCGCACCUGGGCGACGAUCCCUAGCUGGUCUGAGAGGGUGACCAGCCACACGGGAACUGAUACACGGUCCAGACUCCUACGGGAGGCAGCAGGGGGGAAUAUUGCACAAUGGGCGCAAGCCGGAUGCAGCCAUGCCGCGUGUGUGAAGAAGGCCUUCGGGUUGUAAAGCACUUUCAGCGAGGAGGCGUUCCUCGCAGAGGAAGCACCGGCUAACUCCGUGCCAGCAGCCGCGGUAAUAC
rnacentral:rRNA from 1 species